UACGUAGGGUGCGAGCGUUGUCCGGAAUUAUUGGGCGUAAAGAGCUUGUAGGCGGUUUGUCGCGUCUGCUGUGAAAAUCCGGGGCUCAACCCCGGACUUGCAGUGGGUACGGGCAGACUAGAGUGUGGUAGGGGAGACUGGAAUUCCUGGUGUAGCGGUGAAAUGCGCAGAUAUCAGGAAGAACACCCGUGGCGAAGGCGGCUCUCUGGGACGGUAUUGACGCUGAGACGCGAAAGCGUGGGGAGCAAACAGG
rnacentral:rRNA from 1 species